rnacentral:rRNA from 1 species
CAUGGCAUGCCUUAGUAGCGGCGAGUGAGCGGCAAAGCUCAAAUUUGAAAUCUGGCUCUUUCAGAGUCCGAGUUGUAAUUUGAAGAAGGUAUCUUUGGGUCUGGCUCUUGUCUAUGUUUCUUGGAACAGAACGUCACAGAGGGUGAGAAUCCCGUGCGAUGAGAUGAUCCAGGCCUAUGUAAAGUUCCUUCGAAGAGUCGUAAAGUUCCUUCGAAGAGUCGAGUUGUUUGGGAAUGCAGCUCUAAGUGGGUGGUAAAUUCCAUCUAAAGCUAAAUAUUGGCGAGAGACCGAUAGCGAACAAGUACAGUGAUGGAAAGAUGAAAAGAACUUUGAAAAGAGAGUGAAAAAGUACGUGAAAUUGUUGAAAGGGAAGGGCUUGAGAUCAGACUUGGUAUUUUGUAUGUUACUUCUUCGGGGGUGGCCUCUACAGUUUAUCGGGCCAGCAUCAGUUUGGGCGGUAGGAGAAUUGCGUUGGAAUGUGGCACGGCUUCGGUUGUGUGUUAUAGCCUUCGUCGAUACUGCCAGCCUAGACUGAGGACUGCGGUUUAUACCUAGGAUGUUGGCAUAAUGAUCUUAAGUCGCCCGUCUUAGAACCAGGAGACAAAAAAAACAA